UGUGAAACUCGAAGAAAGACAUAGACAUCCGGUAAGUGUUCUAUUUCCCCUUCUUCUUCUUCUUCUUCUUCUUCUUCUUCUUUGCACUGUCAUAAAAAGAUUUUCUGUUGAAGUUAAGAAAAGGAAAUGUUUCUUCAACCAUCUCAUAUCAGUGUUGGAAGAAAAGGAAAUGACAUGAUGAACAAAAACCAGUACAAAUAAAAAGAAAAGAGAAAAAAGUAAAAAACAAAUUUUUUUUAGUAAAAAGCUUCCACCUGAAAGGAACCAGUGAUGUUCUUAUAGCUUGGCUAUCUUAUUUGUCUUGAUUCAUUCUCUUCUAUCACUCAUUAUUCUUUCAUAUCUUCUUUCUUACUUCCAUUUUCAUGUUCAUCUUUUUCACAUCAACAACACUAGUAUCAUUUCCUUGAUUUACAAAGUCAACAAUUUGAGUACAACUAUUCAAUUGUUCCAUUGUGAUUUCUUUUCAUUUUAGAAGAACAAGUUUUUACUGUUAUUUCUUUUGAGAAAUAUCUAUAGUUUUUUACGACUAGUUAGACUGAUGACAAGUGGUUCUAAUUAGGCAUGGUGAAGUUUAUAUUUUUUUUAGACGUCUUGAGUUCAAUUAUUUAUUUUUUGAUUUAGGUUUGCCAGGUCUUUGUUAAUGUUCUUCUUUUUUCUCUCAUUUGAUUAAAGGUUCUCAAUGUUGGUGCUCUAAGAUAUAGGUAGUCAUUUGACGUUUUGAGCUCAACUAGUAACUAACUUGAUCGAAAAGGCUGGUUCAAAGAUGCCUAAUUUCAUAUCCCUUGAGCUUCUUCUAGAACUUUAAGUCCUUCUGCUUCCUUCAUCUUUACAUAUAAAUCCCCAUCUAUGAUCUGCUUACGUCUGUAGAAAUUAGCCUCUGCAGUUGCUUUUUGUGCCUCUGCUUCUUUCUCCUUUUCUGUAGUUGAAAUGCUUCAGCUUCUUUUUGUUUCUUGUAGAGCUCUCAAUUUGCUUCUUGCACCUUUUAGACCAAUGAGGCAUUAGAAACUUCAAAGUUAGGAUUUUUUUUUUGUAAAUUUCAAGUUUUAUGUAAAAAGUAACCUAAUAAUAAUUGUGUCUAAUCUAUUUUCAUGUUAAAUUACACUGAUAGUGUGAAUUAUUGUCGAUUCUCGCAUAAUCAAAGAUGUUACUUUCUCCAUUCCAGUUCAUGUUCUUGUUAAUAACCAACACAAUCUGAUGUUAAAAUAUAGCAGGAACUACUGUUCUACCCUAAUCAGAGGAUCUGGUUGAUAUUCACUGGAAGUAAGCCUUACUCUUUAUUUUUACCCCUGAUUUAGCUCAAAAUUUAACUAUCGUAGGUAUUUAACUUUACUGAAUGUAAUUAGGAAGAUGCUUGUUGUCAUUGUGUCCAAUGUUCUUAAGCAAAUUUAGUUUCUUUAUAUGUGUUUUGUUAUUUGUAUGCUUGUACUUCUAGUUCCUUAUUUAUAAAAGAAAGUAUAGUUUAUACUCUAAACUAAGCUGGCUGGACUUAGAAUGCUUUAUUAUUCUGUAAGUUGACUGGAAUUAAAAUUCUUCAGCAAGGAAUUUUUUUUUAGGUAAGCUUUUUUCCAGCUUUCCUAGUGAAAAAUUUCAGUUUCAGCUCCUCAUUUCUUUAAUUCACAGGCACAGGAGAUCAAAUUCCAAUUGUUGUGAAAGUUACUGAAUGAAUCUAUUUCAUUCUAAUUCGAGAAACUGUUUUUGUUAGUUCGAUCUCUAUAUUUUGAAUAAAUUUAAUGAAUAUGAAUUAGAGUACGUUUUGGUCAAUCAACUAGUGCUUUUUUAGUAAAAGGUUUGUUUGUUUAAGAAUUGACAGAAACAUGAAUAAUCUAGAGCGUGGUUGGAUGUAUGAGAUUUCUUCAGGUCAAGAUUUGCAUGGUAGUGCUCAACCUGAAUUAACAUAUGAUAAUCCAUACCGACAAAUGGUUUUUGAUGUUUCGUGUCCCAACUUUUCCCAAGGUUCAAGUUGGCAAUCUUCUAGCAAUAUUGAACCUCAGCCAACUCAUCCUUGUGAACCUUUGAUGGAGGAAGAUCCUAAUCCCGACUCUCAAAAAUUGUAUGAUUUGCUACAAGCAGCUACUCAAAAAUUGUAUCUCGGUUCUUCUCUCUCUGAACUUGUGCUUGUCUCUCGGAUGUUAAAUAUUAAAAUGGAGAACAAUAUGUCACAGAGAGGUUAUAAUCAAAUGAUGCAAUUGUUGAAAGAGGCUUUACCUGAAGAUAACAUGGUUCUUGAUAGUUAUUAUCAGACUAAGAAGCUAGUGCGUAGCUUGGGUUUGCCAAUUGAAAAAAUUGAUUGUUGUGAAUUAGGAUGUAUGUUAUAUUGGGGUGAUGAUGAACACCUUACAUGUUGUACAUUCUGUGGCCAUGAGAGAUACAAGCGCCGUGUCGGCUCUCGUAAAAGAAAAUUGGUCCCUUAUAAGAAAAUGUAUUAUUUUCCUUUGAUUCCUAGAUUGCAAAUAUUAUAUGCAUCCCCUGCUACUGCUGCUGAUAUGAGAUGGCAUCAUGAGCAUACAAAAGAGGAUGGUGUAAUGCGUCAUCCAUCAGACUCUGAGGCUUGGAAGCACUUCAAUGAAACUCAUCAUUUUUUUGCUGUGGAACCAAGAAAUGUAAGAUUGGGGUUAUGUACUGAUGGUUUCCAACCAUUUAGUCAGUCUGGGAGUAAAUACUCUUCAUGGCCAGUGAUUGUCACUCCUUACAAUUUACCUCCAGGGAUGUGUAUGAAAAAGGCUUAUAUGUUCUUAACAACUAUUGUUCCAGGGCCAACCAAUCCCAAACAUAAAAUUGAUGUUUAACUGCAGCCUCUGAUAAAAGAACUGACUUUGUUGUGGGAGACAGGUGUGGAAGCAUUUGACAUCUCAAAAAAGCAGAACUUUCAACUAAAUGCAGCUUUAAUGUGGACAAUCAGUGACUUUCUAGUAUAUUCUAUGUUAUCCGGAUGGAAUACUGCAGGUAAGUUAGCAUGUCCCUAUUGUAUGGAGGAAACACAAUCCUUUAGAUUGAAACAUAGGUAGAAAAACAUCAUAGUUUGAUUGCCAUAGGAUGUUUCUCGACCAAAAUCACCCAUUUAGGAGAGAUCGUAAAAAACUUUCGUAAAGGCAAGACUGUCCAAAGAUCAUCACCACCCUAUAGAGCAGGAGCAGAAUUAUUGAACCAAAUUUGUGACUUGGGCAUAAGGAAAGUAACAGAGUUAGAUGCAAACGAAGAUAAUCGAAGAUUAUGCAAGUCUUGUGGAUGGAAAAAGAAAAGCAUCUUUUGGGAUUUGCCUUAUUGGAGUUCUAACAUGAUUCGACAUACUCUUGAUGUCAUGCAUAUUGAGAAAAAUGUCUUUGAUAAUGUGUUUAACGCAGUUCUUAAUUUUGAUGACAAAAUGGCACUUACAGAAUUGAGCUUAUUUUUUAAAGAUCUUACUUCCACCACUCUACGAGUGGAUGACAUGGAGAGAUUGGAGAGAGAUAUUCCACAAAUCUUAUGCAAGUUAGAACGUAUAUUUCCUCCUGGGUUCUUUGACUCAAUGGAACAUCUUCCUGUGCACAUUCCAUAUGAAGCAAAGAUAGCUGGACCAGUGCAAUAUCGAUGGAUGUAUCCAUUUGAAAAGUAAAUGUGAAACUUCAUGUCACUUAUGACUAGUUUGCCAUUCAUUCCUUUUCUAAUGUAAUGGUCCAUCCAUUUUCUCUAUUUAGGAAUUUGGGAACUCUUAAAAGGAUGAUUGGGAAUAAAGCUAGUGUAGAGGGUUCCAUUUGUAAAGCGUACUUGAUGACAGAGUCAACACAAUUGUUUUCUCAUUAUUUUGAACCUCAUGUCAUGACACGUAAUCAUAAUGUGGAACGUAUGAUGAUGGUGGUGUUGUGGAAGAUCUUGAAGGAAAUUUAUCAAUAUUCUCCCAUCCAGGUCGAGUAUGGGGAGAAGUAAAAAAAAGGGAUUUAUCCCUUGAAGAAAUCAAGACUGCCCAAACUUUUAUCUUACUAAAUUGUGAGGAGGUUGAGCCAUUUGUGAGGUAACAAAAGUUAGUGGUAUUUUCUUAAUGAUAUAAACAUAUCUUUAUUCACGACUAUCAAAUUAAACUUAUUUUACUAUGAUGAAGUAUGUUCAUGCAACGUUUGCAAGAAGAAUUUCCGAAUCUAACUCAGGGUCAAAUAGAUGAGAGCCUUGAAGCAAAUUUCUCUACAUGGUUCAAGGAAUGUGUAAGAUUUCAAAACUACUAUCUUUUAUGUUGUAAUGUGCUUAACUUGACUUCAGAAAUUUUACUAAGUCUUACAAUUUUUUCAAAAUAGGUCCUAUGCAAUCCCAUAGAGAAUAAAUUCUUGAGUAGUCUUGCCCGUGGACCAUUAAUAAGUGCUACAUGUCAUUCUGUUUAUUUGUUAAUGGAUACAAAUUUCACACAGAAUGUCAUGGUAGCACAAGAUCAACAAUGAAUAGUGGAGGUUGUAUCUCAGAUUCAAAUUUUGGUGAUUAUUUUGGACGGAUAAAACAGAUUAUACAAGUGGAAUACCCUGUAAAGCAACCUUUGAAGCAAAUUGUAUUAUUCAAAUGUGAAUGGUUUGACCCAACUAUGGAUGUUGGUGUCAAAAGGCAUAAUCAGUACAAAUUGGUUGAGAUUAAUCAACGUCGUCGAUAUAAAAAAUAUGAGCCUUUUAUUCUGACAAUGCAAGCAACUCAAGUGUGUUAUGUGUCAUAUCCCAACAAGAAAAAGGACAAAGAUGACUGGGUAGCUGUAUUGAAGGCCAAACCUCGAAAUGUUAUUGAAUUACUUGAUGAGGGGGUGGAGACAACUUUAGAACUGAAUGUUCCAUUCCAAGUUGAUGAAGUUGAAGUUCACGAGAUAGAUAUGACUGUUUCCAUUGAUGAAAACAUACUCUUAAAUGAUCCAAAUGGGGAUACAAUGGAAAUGGAUGAACCCAUUGAUGAUGGUUUAUUGCAAGAGCAUCAUGCAAUCCAAAUAGAAUCAACAGAAGAAUAUGAAACCGAGGAAACUGAGGAGGAUGAGGAGGAUGAAGAUGAUGAAGAGGAAGAGUUUGAAGAAGACAUAGAUAGUGACUAGUGCUUGAUAAUCUACUUUUGUAUCUUCACCGCAAUUUGUUUGUAUUAAGUUUUCUCCAAAUAUUCUCAUAUUCUUUAGUUUCUAUUUUUCAAAUUACGGUGAUUAAAAUCAGUAACUCUUGGAUUUUGACCAUGUGUGUUCUAUUUCUUAUUUUAACCUUUAUUUAAAUCUACUUGUAGCAUUAAUUACUGUUAUACAUACCAGGUAACUGAAUGUUCCAUUUGAAUGAGAGCUGUUUUGUGAUGCUUUGGAUGCCUAGGAAAUCUCCACAUUACACCUUUUCCCCUCUUUUAGCUACUGUCUUUUCAUUAUCAUUGGUCAUUUUACAUUGGUUAUGGAGUUUUCUAGUGCCAAGUGUGGUGUCUUUGAUGGCCAAUCCAAAGAGAGUUUGUGUUCUCUUCCUUGGUACAGGGAAAACUGAAACAAACGUUAUGCUUUGUGGUCAUUUUACAUUAGUGUUAUACCUACCAGCUUUGAUGACAGAAUGUAACCAUCAGGUCUAGGUGCCUUAUCAGAAGCACAUGAUCUAAUGGUAUUCAACUUUUCAGUCUCUUAAAAGGCUUCUACAGUUCCCUAAUAUCCUUUUUUUGUGAUUGUAUUCAAUUUUUUUAGAAUCUGAUAUAGAUUUCUGAAGCUCAUUAUUUGUGUAAAUCUUCUAACCAAACUCAAUGAUAACUAUUUCACUCUUUUAUAUGCAGGCAUAAGUGUUUUCACUUGAUCUACAAGCUUUUUUAGAGGUAUUUUUAAUAUUUCAGCACACUUCAAUGAGGUAGCUUAAUUUGAUUUAUACUAGUGAUAAAUGUUUGACUCUAGUUUCUGUUUUUGCAAUAUUUCUUUUUUUGGUGGAACAAACUGUUUGGUGAUAGUCAUUUGCUAGUCUCAUUUCGUUCUCAUACAGCAUGAUAUUAUGUGGGUCUGCCUGUAUUUUGUUUUGACAUUGGAUAAGUAGCUCCCAUCGAUCGCUGUUGUGUUUGUAGUACCACAUCACUGAAAGUUUCUUUCUUUAGACAUGACAAUAAUUUUUUCAGGAAGCCAACUACAUUGUUAUAGUUUUCAGGAAGCCAACUACACUGUUAUAUUUUUUUAUAGGUAUGGCUCGAGGCAGAAGUCGUGGGAAGUCCUUUGGUAGGAGUAGUCCUGCAAUUCAUGUAAGCAUGCCAACUAUUCCGAUGCCCACUAUAGUUUCUCCUCAACAAGGUGGUACCACAACCGUUGAAACAUCAGCUCAAAGUACCACCCCAACUAUCUCUGAGACACCUCCAGUUAC
rnacentral:lncRNA from 1 species